UUCGAUAUAGCUUAAUCGGCAAAGCACGGAGUUCAACCUCUGUAUGUGGGUUCAAUCCCCGCUAUCGAUG
rnacentral:tRNA from 1 species